rnacentral:rRNA from 1 species
AGUGAACGCUGGCGGUAGGCCUAACACAUGCAAGUCGAACGGCAGCACAGUAAGAGCUUGCUCUUACGGGUGGCGAGUGGCGGACGGGUGAGGAAUACAUCGGAAUCUACUUUUUCGUGGGGGAUAACGUAGGGAAACUUACGCUAAUACCGCAUACGACCUACGGGUGAAAGCAGGGGAUCUUCGGACCUUGCGCGAUUGAAUGAGCCGAUGUCGGAUUAGCUAGUUGGCGGGGUAAAGGCCCACCAAGGCGACGAUCCGUAGCUGGUCUGAGAGGAUGAUCAGCCACACUGGAACUGAGACACGGUCCAGACUCCUACGGGAGGCAGCAGUGGGGAAUAUUGGGCAAUGGGCGCAAGCCUGAUCCUGCCAUACCGCGUGGGUGAAGAAGGCCUUCGGGUUGUAAAGCCCUUUUGUUGGGAAAGAAAAGCAGCAGGUUAAUACCCCGCUGUUCUGACGGUACCCAAAGAAUAAGCACCGGCUAACUUCGU